rnacentral:tRNA from 1 species
ACCUGGGUGGCUCAGUUGUUUGAGUGUCUGACUUCAACUCAGGUCGUGAUCUCAUGGUUCGUGAGUUCGAGCCCCAUAUCGGGCU